rnacentral:tRNA from 1 species
UAGGGGGUAGUAUAUGUGGAAGUACUGAAAGUUUUGGGCUUUCAAGUUUAAGUUCGACUCUUAAUUCCCUAG